rnacentral:rRNA from 1 species
UGCCUUUAGGUUCGGAAUAGCUCCUGGAAACGGGUGGUAAUGCCGAAUGUGCCCUUCGGGGGAAAGAUUUAUCGCCUUUAGAGCGGCCCGCGUCUGAUUAGCUAGUUGGUGAGGUAACGGCUCACCAAGGCGACGAUCAGUAGCUGGUCUGAGAGGAUGACCAGCCACACUGGGACUGAGACACGGCCCAGACUCCUACGGGAGGCAGCAGUGGGGAAUCUUGCGCAAUGGGCGACCGGAAAGCCUGACGCAGCCAUGCCGCGUGAAUGAUGAAGGUCUUAGGAUUGUAAAAUUCUUUC